rnacentral:rRNA from 1 species
UACGUAGGGGGCUAGCGUUGUCCGGAAUCAUUGGGCGUAAAGAGCGUGUAGGCGGCCCGGUAAGUCCGCUGUGAAAGUCAAAGGCUCAACCUUUGAAUGUCAGUGGAUACUGUCGGGCUAGAGUCCGGAAGAGGCGAGUGGAACUCCUGGUGUAGCGGUGGAAUGCGCAGAUAUCAGGAAGAACACCAACGGCGAAGGCAGCUCGCUAGGACGGUACUGACGCUGAGACGCGAAAGCGUGGGGAGCAAACAGG